UCUCGUGCAAGUGGUUUAUUGAUGGAGUGCUCUUAGGAGAAGGGGAGUGAGGGAAGCAGCGUAGGACAGAGGAAAAAAACUGAGUAAGAAUGUGCUCUCAGAAGAAGACUGACUUCAGCUUGAUUCCAUGAGGAGCUCUGGGAAAGGAAGUUCCUUGAUGUAAGAGGUCAGUCUUUUGUACCUCCAUACAAGAGGUAGCAAUUCUUUUCUAGAGAUGGUCUCAAAAUUAGAAUACAUCAAAAUCACUUGGAGGGUUUGGUAAAUCAGAAUGCUGUGCCAACCCCCAGAGAUUCUGAUUCAGUAGGUCUGAGGUGUUAGCACCCACAGCAUCUCGCAAAGGGGAUCAGGAAAGCACCUACUACAUGAAGGCACAUGCCAGGGACAGAUGGAUUGGACCCCAAGCUGGGGCUAUGUAGACUACAUCUUUAGGUCAGAACAUCUAGAUUCACAGUAUCUUGUAUGUUCCUGUUGUCAUCUCACAUCUCUUGCCAACGCAUUGUUGAAACAUUCUUACUUGGUCUUGUUAUUGGACUUCAAGAGAAGGGUCUGGGAGAUACAUGAGGCUUUGAAAAGGAAGUAGCUGCAAGUUGCUAGGCAAAUAUAGUGGCAUCAGUUGCAAUGGAGUGGAAAGUCCUUAAACGAGUGAUCAAUAUUUAGUGGCAAGACUCUAGACCAACCCUGGAAAU
rnacentral:lncRNA from 10 species